CUGAUUGAAGAUCAAGCUGA
rnacentral:miRNA from 1 species